rnacentral:siRNA from 1 species
CUGUGGUCAGAUAGCUCCGUG